GAUGAACGCUGGCGGCGUGCCUAACACAUGCAAGUCGAACGGAGAUUUAACGCUGAUGAGGCUUCGGCGGAAUCUUGUUAAAUCUUAGUGGCGGACGGGUGAGUAACGCGUGGGCAACCUGCCUCGUACUGGGGGAUAACAGUUGGAAACGACUGUUAAUACCGCAUAAGCGCACGGUAUCGCAUGAUACAGUGUGAAAAACUCCGGUGGUACGAGAUGGGCCCGCGUCAGAUUAGCCAGUUGGCGGGGUAACGGCCCACCAAAGCGACGAUCUGUAGCCGGACUGAGAGGUCGGACGGCCACAUUGGGACUGAGACACGGCCCAAACUCCUACGGGAGGCAGCAGUGGGGGAUAUUGCACAAUGGGCGAAAGCCUGAUGCAGCGACGCCGCGUGAGUGAAGAAGUAUUUCGGUAUGUAAAGCUCUAUCAGCAGGGAAGAAAGGCCCGCAAGGGAGAUGACGGUACC
rnacentral:rRNA from 1 species